UACGUAGGGUGCAAGCGUUGUCCGGAAUUAUUGGGCGUAAAGAGCUCGUAGGCGGUUUGUUGCGUCGGCUGUGAAAUCCCGAGGCUCAACCUCGGGUCUGCAGUCGAUACGAGCAAACUAGAGUGUUGCAGGGGAGACUGGAAUUCCUGGUGUAGCGGUGAAAUGACGCAGAUAUCAGGAGGAACACCGGGUGGCGAAGGCGGGUCUCUGGGCAACAACUGACGCUGGAGGAAGCGAAAAGCGUGGGGGAGCGAACAGG
rnacentral:rRNA from 1 species